GGCAUGAUCUCAGCUCACUGCAACCUUCACCUCCCCAGUUCAAGUGAUUCUCCAGCCUCAGCCUCCUGAGUAGCUGGGAUUACAGGCACGCACCACCAUGCUCGGCUAAUUUUUUGUAUUUUUUAGUAGAGACAGGGUUUUGCCACGUUGGCCAGGUUGGUCUCAAUCUCCUGACCUCAUGAUCCACCCACCUCAGCCUGCCAGAGUUCUGGGAUUACAGGUGUAAGCCACCACGCCUGGCCCAAAUGUCCCAAUUUUUUACAUUUUCUAAUUGCUUCUGGAGUAUAGGAGCAUAGUAGAUUUGUAUAUAUUGAUCUUGCUAUUAUUUCAGCACCCUUGCUAUUAUCUCACCCUUUCCAAUCCUGAUACUAUUUAUUUCUUUUUCUUGCUCUAUUAUUCUGGCCAGGCCACUAAUGUAAUAUUGGAGUCAUAACAGCAGGCAUCCUUGUGUCAUUCCUGACACUUCACCACUGUAGUAUAUUUUAAAUUUGUUUUUAAACGUUGGCUUACUUUUUCAGACACUGUGAAUGCCAAACUGUCUGGAGGCUGCCAUGAGCGGCCAAUUUGUGAUCUCUGCUUUACCUGAAUUAUUUCCGUGAAUUGUGACAUCAACCUCGCCAGAUAAGAAAGAAGACUGAAGUUCAGAGAGGUGAAGGGACUGGCUCAGGGGCUACCCCUAUGGUUGCGGGAGCUAAGAUUCCAGCCCAGCAGCGUGAUCCAGAGCCCAUCUGAGCUACCCAGAUCUUCCUGCUGUUAAACCCGUCCUGGGGCAGCUCUUGCCUGAUGGGCUACCUGAGGAACCCACAGGAAAUCAAGGGAGGUGCCUGCAAAGUUGCCGUGGGGUCACAGCCUGCCCUUUGGAAGGGGCUGUUUCUGGGCUGCUGUGACUUCCUGCCAUUAUUUCCUCUCUGUUCUCCCUCUGGAAUGAAUAAAGUACUUCUGAAAAACCAUCAACCCAGUCGAUACGGAAAUGCUGGUCCCUACAAUAGAAUGCUCUGUGGUCAUUAAAAAGAUUAAAAAGGUCAA
rnacentral:lncRNA from 10 species